rnacentral:tRNA from 1 species
GAGAGUAUAGCUCAAGUGGUAGAGCACAUGCUUAGCAUGCAUGAGGUCCUGGGUUCAAUCCCCACUACCUCCU